rnacentral:rRNA from 1 species
UUGCUUUCUUUGCUGACGAGCGGCGGACGGGUGAGUAAUGCCUAGGGAACUGCCCAGUCGAGGGGGAUAACAGUUGGAAACGACUGCUAAUACCGCAUACGCCCUACGGGGGAAAGGAGGGGCUCUUCGGACCUUUCGCGAUUGGAUGUACCUAGGUGGGAUUAGCUUGUUGGUGAGGUAAGAGCUCACCAAGGCGACGAUCCCUAGCUGUUCUGAGAGGAUGAUCAGCCACACUGGGACUGAGACACGGCCCAGACUCCUACGGGAGGCAGCAGUGGGGAAUAUUGCACAAUGGGCGAAAGCCUGAUGCAGCCAUGCCGCGUGUGUGAAGAAGGCCUUCGGGUUGUAAAGCACUUUCAGCGAGGAGGAAAGGUUAACGGUUAAUACCCGUUAGCUGUGACGUUACUCGCAGAAGAAGCACCGGCUAACUUCGUGCCAGCAGCCGCGGGUAAUACGAGGGGUGCAAGCGUUAAUCGGAAUUACUGGGCGUAAAGCGUACGCAG